rnacentral:ncRNA from 1 species
AGACCUGAAAUCAGUCGAGGUUACCCGAUGAAUUUAAGCAUAUUACUAAGCGGAGGAAAAGAAAAUAACAAUGAUUCCCCUAGUAACGGCGAGUGAAGCGGGAGGAGCUCAAAGUGAAAAUCGUGAGUUCCCUUUUGGCCUCACGAAUUGUAGCCUCUAGAGGCGUUGCCAGUGGGAGGGCAGGUCUAAGUUUCUUGGAAUAGAACAUCAGAGAGGGUGACAGUCCCGUCCUUUGUCCUGCUUGUUGUUGCCUACGUACGGCGAGCUU